GACGGAGGGGGCUAGCGUUGUCCGGAUUUAUUGGGCGUAAAGGGCGCGCAGGUGGUGCGGUAAGACUGCCGUGAAAUCUCCUGGCUCAACUGGGAGGGUGCGGUGGAGACUGCCGGACUAGAGGCACUCAGAGGCCGGUGGAAUUCCCGGUGUAGUGGUGAAAUGCGUAGAGAUCGGGAGGAACACCAGUGGCGAAGGCGGCCGGCUGGGGGUGACCUGACGCUGAGGCGCGAAAGCGUGGGGAGCGAACCGG
rnacentral:rRNA from 1 species